rnacentral:rRNA from 1 species
CAGUCGCCGCGGGAAUACGUAGGGGGCAAGCGUUAUCCGGAAUUACUGGGUGUAAAGGGAGCGUAGACGGUUAAACAAGUCUGAAGUGAAAUGCCGGGGCUCAACCCCGGAGCUGCUUUGGGAACUGUAGAACUGGAGUGUCGGAGGGGUAAGCGGAAUUCCCAGUGUAGCGGUGAAAUGCGUAGAUAUUGGGAGGAACACCGGCGGCGAAGGCGGCUUACUGGACGACAACUGACGUUGUGGUUCGAAGGCGUGGGUAGCAAACAGGAUUAGAUACCCCUGUAGUCCCUGUCUCUUAUAC